UGAGGGGUCUGGAACACAGGGCUGAUGAGGAGAGGCUGAAGGAGCUGGGAAUGUUCAGCCUGGAGAAGAGGAGCUCAGGGGAGACCUCAUUGCUCUCUAUAACUGCCUGAAGGGAGGCUGUGGUGCAAAAGGGUCUGGCCUCUUCUCCCAGGCAAAUAGUAGGAGCCGAGGAAACGGCCAGAAGUUGUACCAGAGGAGGUUUGGGUUGGACAUGAGGAGGAACUUUUUCUCUCAGUGGUCAGGCACUGCAAUGGCUGCACAGGGAGGUGGUGGAGUCGCCGUCCCUGCUGGUGAGCUAUGAGAGAUGGUUUAGUGCUUGUGGCACUGAUAGGAAUGGGAGGGGGGUUGGACUGGAUGAUCUUGCAGGUCGUUUCCAAC